ACGGCUUUUACGUCGAAAGUGGAGGCUACACGGGGGAAGUGGUGAGCAACACUCUAUUUUUCGAAAUCCAACGUAAUUGGACCGGGAUCUUGAUAGAGCCGAACCCGAGGAACUUUAAGAAAUUAUUGUCAAGAAAUCGGAAAGUUCACUCAGCUAAUGCGUGCAUCGGAGAGACGAGAGCAGCAGCCAAGGUGGUGUUUAAGAAUGAAAAAUACGCAGGAAGGAUAUACAAUCAUCAAGAUUUAAGCUAUCCGGGCGAUUCAUUAGACCUGAGCAGCGCUAAAUGUUUUCCGCUGUACUCUUUUCUACUCGCACUGGGCACCACCACCGUCGACUACUUCAGCCUCGACGUAGAAAGUUCCGAGUACAAAGUCCUGCAGUCCAUCCCCUGGGACAAGCUCGAUAUCAAGACGUUAUCCGUGGAGUACAAUCUCAUCCCAGAAGGG